rnacentral:lncRNA from 1 species
AGUAAAUAUUUUAUUUUUGAUACAGUUAAUGGUGAUGUAGAACCAGGGGUAGACAACUCAAGACAUGAGACAAAGAGAGGAAACCAACGCACAGGUCAGAAAAAGCCAGUUGCAAAGAAGAAUAAAUCUAAAGACUCGGCGGCACAAAUUGAAAAUGAGCAACAUAAUCAAGGAAAAACACGUAGAGAACAGCCACCACCACCACAUGGUGCAGGAGCAGCAACAGGAACAACAUUGAAUGGCAGAGAGGAUUCAGACGGUGAAGUUUCAAGAGAACAUGUUGACUUACAAGUAUCUGGUCACACUUUACCGCAAAGUUCCAGACCAAUACCUGACAUUCCUAGGGGGAAUGGCCAACAAGGAGACAAUGAUAAAGGCAGGCAUUCCUCAGCCACCAUCAGUGGUGAAAAACAUCCACUUACUAAUAUUGUUACACCUUCACAAAAAGCUGGUAUUUUAGAAUCACUACCUGAAGGAAAAAGAGAAGAACAGGUAAAGAAAUUGAAGAAAAAGAAAUUACAAGAGGAUGAAAUGUAAAGGAUAGUGCUAGCAGACUUGGCAUAUAGCUUUGAAGUGUAUACAUUACUGGAACAACUCUAUCUCAGUAACAAAAUAUUCUUACGUGUUAAUUACAAGUUAAAGCAUUGUUUAUGAAUUAUAUCUGAGUUAGAACAUCUUUGAAUAUGUAAAGUAAACUGUAAAAAAAACAUAUAGAAAAGGUUAUAUUGAUAUAAAAAUAACAUUUCUGAAUUUGAUGUGGAUAUGAGCUAAAAUUGUCCACAUGAUUAGCCAUGUAUGAAUAUUUCUGGAAACAUUUAAAUGUACAAGCACUACAGAAGAUAUUUUGAUUGCAAAAUUUGAAUGAGACAGUUACAGUACUUUAUUUCUUAAAAAUAGAGUUGAAAUAAGAAUUUGAAAAUUUCAGGGAGGAUUUUUAUGACAUUACUGUGUAAUGUUUAUUCCAACUCCUUUUAUUGUUGUUUUGACAAGUGCACAAAAGUUUGCAACCAUCAGCAAUUUUCUGUUUGUUACCUCUUCUGAAAAGGAAUGGAUCCAAAGUUGUAGUUAUAUCUUGUAGAGAGAGAGCUAGUUAAUAUGUCUAAAGAAUAAAUAUAUGUGGUUCUGGGACGAUCUGUGUAUGAAAAGAAUUGGAACCACUGCUUUACCCUUGCAUGAUCGUAAGAGGCGACUAAUAGGGUCUUAACACUUGGUUUUGCUGUAACUCUGUGAUUCCAG